rnacentral:misc_RNA from 1 species
GCUUAAGAGUGCCUAAACAUUGCCAUAAAUAAAUUGCAGAAAUUCCGAAGAAAGCAAGAUAUAGAUUUCUUUCAAGAUGGAUUCUCCGUCCUCCCCAAAGAGGGCAAGGUCUGAUGCUGAUUUGACUGAACUAUCAAAAGAAGAACUUGUUAAUAGAAUUAAAGACCAAGAAAAAGUAAUUCGUCAGUUGGAAGAGAAGCAAAGAAAUUCUAAAACAGAUGAAAAAGAUAUAAAAGACUUGGAGGCAAAAUUAAAACAGCAUCAGAGAGAUGCUGCACGCAGAGAAAAUACUCUUGUUCACCGAUUGACAACCAAGGAACAAGAACUGCAGGAUUAUAUAAAUCAAAUCCAAGAAUUCAAACAGUCACAGACACAGAACAAAGCACAGUUACAAACAAUGCUUCUUGAUCCUGCAGUCAACCUAGUAUUUCAAAGGAUGACUAAAGAAAUGGAAGAAUGCCAAGAGAAACUGAAACAAACUCAAAACGAACUCAGUGCAUGGAAGUUCACACCCGACAGGUGCUUAUUUCGUUCAUGGGUAACAAAUGUCCAAAGCAUUCCCGCUGUCACAUAAGGCUUGAACACUUAUCGCGAUUCAGUAUUUUUCCAUCCCGGCAAAAAUUCUCUCCCUCCCGGAUGUCGACUGUUUUGACAUUCACCAAAAUCUGAAACACUGGGCUUGAUGUCAGUUAGAACAUUGACAUUCAGGCGAUGUUGUUUUUUUCAAUUUCUUUGCUGUUUUAUUUUGGGCCAAGGAGAAUCGAGUAAGAACAUGUUAUUUAAGAUAUCCCGGCAAAAGAAACUUGGGGUGACUUGGAUACAAUGUUAGGUUACCCCUACUUUAUUUCUCUCACCAACUGCCCAAUACGUCCUGCAUUGUGACGAGACAAUGUGAGUAGGCUUGUAACACUUUAACAAUAGACCUCCACUGGUUGGUGGGAGCCGUCAAAGUGUUGAUCAAGUCGGAUCGUUGGGAGUUUGUCCACAUGAACUCGGACACAGAUCCGGUUGAUUUAUGAAUUGUGUGUGAGCUUUUUUUCUGCCAUGACUACCCAAAACUGUCACCGUUGUUGUACAAUUGCAUUUCUUUCAGGUUUUCUUACAUUCUUGCUUAACUUUACUAUUUAAGACCGACAGAUACUAAUGUGACUAUACUAGUAUUACCUAGAGACUGUAAGUACAGAUCAUCAACUCAGGAAAAUUGUGAACAAUGACUUAGUUGACAGAGAAGUCAAUUUAUACCAGGUAAUUAACUGUUUGUCAUAUGUGUGUGAUGAAAUGUUUUAAUCUUUGAUGUUUCAGGGCAUUAAAUGCUUCAUUGCAGCUCUUCGGUGAACCUAGUGUGACAUUUCUCAUAGAGACUGAUCAUAAUCAAGAGUAGAUAAUUCACCUUGCUUUGUUUUAAAGUACAACGCAUUGAGUUUUAGCACAGUAGCUUUUGAUUAUGGUUGUAUGAUAAUUUAGAAAAUGGAAAAGGAAAUUUAGAAUCAGAAGGGUAUUUGUUGUCAUAAAUAUUUAAUAUUUGACUGAAAGGAAAACAUUGUGCUUUUAUAAAUCCUCAUACCAGCAAUAUAGCUCAGCCUUUGCUGCACUAGAACUGAAAAACAUUAACAAAGAGAAUUGGCAAAUUUAUAUAUAUUCACUAUAAAGAGGCCAAUACAUUUUUCCUUCAUUGUUGGAAACCCACAGCAUAGUCUUACUAGCCGUAUGCCAAUUCUUUGAAUUUUUCUUGUUUCAUGAAUAAUUGAUUGGCUCCAUCACACUAUUGUGAAGCAAAUGUCACCAAUUGUGCUUAUGUGUAAGCAUGCAUAAAUAAACAACAUGUUUUCAU